rnacentral:rRNA from 1 species
CGCACGGGUGAGUAACACGUAGGUUAUCUACCCCCACUCACAGACAUAACCCCGGGAAACCGGGGCUAAUAUCUGAUGAGGUCGCAAGAUCAAAGUCUUCGGACGGAUGGGGAUGAGCCUGCGGCUGAUUAGCUAGUUGGUGAGGUAACGGCUCACCAAGGCGACGAUCAGUAGCUGGUCUGAGAGGACGAACAGCCACACUGGAACUGAGACACGGUCCAG